UUGGCUGUCGUCAGCUCGUGUCGUGAGAUGUUGGGUUAAGUCCCGUAACGAGCGCAACCCUUGUCCUUAGUUACCAGCACGUUAAGGUGGGCACUCUAAGGAGACUGCCGGUGACAAACCGGAGGAAGGUGGGGAUGACGUCAAGUCAUCAUGGCCCUUACGGCCUGGGCUACACACGUGCUACAAUGGUCGGUACAAAGGGUUGCCAAGCCGCGAGGUGGAGCUAAUCCCAUAAAACCGAUCGUAGUCCGGAUCGCAGUCUGCAACUCGACUGCGUGAAGUCGGAAUCGCUAGUAAUCGGAAUCAGAAGUC
rnacentral:rRNA from 1 species